AGGGGAAUGUAUAAUACCUCCAGUAAAACAGAGGCGUCUUUGUAGCCUGGUACUAUCAGUCUCCUACAGAUUCCAACUGUUCAGUGAGCUGCACUCCGCUAACAGUCUGACCUUCAAUUACUAUCUUGGCUGGAAGCCUGUGGACGCUUGUUGUGCAAGAAACACUGUGUCCUCUGCUGCACGGCAGUUUUACUGCGCCAUAAAAACGGAUUCACAUACAGGUUAUAAAUAUACCGUCCUGGGGACAAGACAAAGAUCUUCUCUGCAAAGAAGGAACAAUACCUUGAAAUAUUAUUGGAGGGCUGAUUUAAGUGAAGCCAGAUGCAAGUGGCUCUGUUCUGUUCCCUAUGCAGGUCAAACAGUUCCCUCCCGACCUGGCAGGAGACCAAACUCAGGAAGUGCCUGUAGGCCAUGGCUAGACACAGCUCUCACAGGCUUCGGUGACAUCGCGCCUGCUGGGGAACGCCCACUUUCUACUGCCGGGAGCUCACACAAUGUGAGCAAGGGGAAAGUGAAAGCAGCUGCAAGAAGGCAGGUCGGGAACACUCUCAGGCAACAUUUUCUUCAAUAACCUCCACAAAAUGCAGCGUGUCAUUAGCUGCUAAAAGCCAAUUGUAAGAAUAGGUAUAAAAUCGACAACUCCAGGGUGCAUUUCAGAAAAUACCCUGCUGAACAAACUGAGAAAUAGGGGAAAAGCAACACAAAUAUGGUCUGUUCAAGAGCCACACCUGCUGUGUGCCUCGCAUGGCAAACGUUUCUCCAUGUUCCAACUACUGGAGCUCAGUAAUUGAACUGCCAAGCAUCGGCCUCCUAAUGAACGAAUGUACCACCGGGCUCAAUAAGAAGCCACAAUUAGGAUUUUUUCCUUGUUGUUCAUUUCCAUUCCAUCUUUGCUCUCCUUGUCAAGUUACAAUUAAAGGGGUUCUCCACCAUAAGGAGAUUUUAGUAC